rnacentral:lncRNA from 13 species
AUGAAAGGAGCAAAAAAAAAAAAGGAUAGAAGAAGAAACUGGGACUCAGAGAAAUUAUAUACUUUGCUCAGAGUCAUCCACGUGGUAAUGGACAGACCUGUACUUCCUGUCUUUUCAGACUUAGGUUGGACUUAUUUUGAAUCAAAGCAAGUCCUGUGAGAAAGGAAGUAUUCAAUUCACUCCAUCUAGUAAAUGUCUAUUCUCUUUCUACUUUCUCACAUUAUCCAUUUUACCUACCUUCUCAGCAAUUGCACAGUAGUAGAGAAAAAAUGCCUUCUUGCCCUUAAUUGAAAGAAUACAGAAUGUUCUAAAACUUCAACAAGUUUGAAAUUUCUACAUUUGAAAACUCUCAACUAAAAUGUGCUGUUAUUUCUACAGGCUUCUGCCCUCUACAAGCCAAGAGGAAUGUCUGGAAAUGAGAGAAUAGACUACCCUGAAUAUUAAAUUUCUAUUUUUAAAAAGUACUAAAAACUGAGAAACACCAUGUACCAAAACUUCACCAAAAUAAAGAAAACAUAAAUUAGAGAAGUGAACA